CGGGCUGGGCGAAGCGCGCAACGACUGGGACCUGAUCUACCACGUGUCGUGCGAGGGACGGGCGAGGAAAAGAAAAGAUGCUCGGCGAGAAAAAAAGAGGUCGCGACCAGGAGAAAAGGAGGCCGCGUACCCUAAUCCAGAUUCCCUGUCGCUGCCUCUCGCCGGCCUCCACGCGAGUCCUGGCCCCGCCGCCACCGCUCUCUCUCCUCCUUGCCCUCGUAGCAGUGGCGGCCUCGGCCUACUACGAGGAUGAGGGUGGCGCAGACCCCAGAUGCCCAAAGCUCUCGCGAGCACGAGCAUCACAGCCGUGGCGCUUGUGAGGACUGCCAUAGAGGAAGGUGGUGUUGCGGCAGGACUGGCUGGUCGCGAAUCUUUAGGAGAGGAGGACGAGUGAGGCCAGCAAUCAGCACGGCAGGGACACCAUGCCGUGUGCGGAGACUCUCCUCCCCGACUUCUCCGUUUCUUUGAAUCUUCGAUGCGAUCCCCGAAGAGCCUAUGAAGAAUCUGGGGGGUGAGUUUGAUGAUUGAGGACGAGGAGCCAAGCACACACGACAAACCAAUUCAAGUCAGGUUUAAGGCACCGACAGGUCUAACCAGCAGGGGUGCUCACUCACACCUAAGGAAGAAGAUCAAGAAGCGGAACUGGUAUAGGAAUCGUAUGAAGAUUUGGAUCCGGGCUAGCGAGAGCAAGGACAAGUUUUGAUUUGUAUCUUAUGCGGAUUUUGCGAGGAGAUGCUGCCUUUCGUUGCGAUGUUGGGGGCUUUUACAGUGCUGCGGGUUGCUGCUCUGCAAUGAUGUUAGCGAUGGCGACACAAGCAAGAACACAGUCCCCAAAUGGUUUGCUCUUUAUUUGUGGACCAAUAUUACAAUAUACGACACGAGACAGGAGACUAGGUGCAUAACCUUUUAUCAAGAUACCAUCAGAACUGGUAGGGCAUGUUCUGAUUGAGUCAUGGAAUAUGUAACAACAAUGCCUUUGACAUUGGAAAUCUGAUCUUUCUCAACUUCAGGCUAUGUUUCUCAAUAUAGGCCUCUUAUAUGUGUGGUCUCCUUGUAUUUGGAUGAUAUACAAAUUGGUUCCAGUUCCAGGUUUCCAGCGAUUGUCAGGGCAUCGACUGCGUAGUAUCUAACAGGGACGCUCCAACUGUGUCAGGUUGUCGCCAGCGGGGAAUGGAAAGGUGAAGACAAGAUCUCCACGACACCGCAUCCUGCUGCCAAGUAGGUUCAUCUUUGAUUGGUUUGCGACUGCACAUGCCAGAGAUCAAGAAUAAGCUCUGUACUGGAUAUGUGAAUGGGAUAUCUUUUUCUUGCAGGAAUUAUGGGUUCACAAGACCAUAAGUUUACUAUUGUUGGUGAAAUAGUAUCCCUCAGUUACUUUCAUAGUUUCAUGCAUAGGGGUUCGAUCAUCUGCGGGGAUGCUUAUAUAUACUUUGAACCUUCCGCUACACCUGGUUUUUCCAAAAUUCUAUCAUCUUUGCGGGAAGUUAUGGAAGUAUCAUUCAUAUUUUAAAUCAUUUUCUUCUAUGACUGCUCAGGGUGUUUAAAGCUAAAUUACGUGCGCUUGUAUUGUAUUUAACCACUCAACAAUAUAUUUGCUCCAAGAACUUUCCCCGAAAGCUGAUUUCUCAUUAUCUCCAUUUCCCAAUUCCUUCUGGUGCUCAUGCCGAUUGCUGGAAGAAUCCUAAUGGUAUAGACUAUAUACUCUGCUCCUCUGCUAAGGUUAAUCUACUGGGUAUGUUGCGAAGAUAGUUUCAUCUUCCCAUAAUGUUUGGUGAUCAAUUUUAACGUGCAUCAUAUGAGGAAGCAUUGACAAGACUUUUUUUGAAUGUUGGUAUAUUGCUGCAAUCAUUAAAAUAGCAAUUCUUGUUACCAUAGUAUCUACAGCCUUGGUUCUAUAUUAAAUGUUGCAGAUUUGUCAAGAUUUGCAUGUAUCUACACACUGAAACGCGUUUGGAUACAUGCUUAUCUAGACAAAUAUGUGAACCAAGGUAGUAAUAGUUAUUGGGGAAGCUGUAAAGAUCACCUAUUUGCUAUAGAAAAGAUAUUCAGUUAUUAGAUCAUUUCUUCCCCUAAAAGCAUAACUCUGUUUACAAUCUAUGCUGAGAAUCAUUCCCUAGCUCAAUGGUCUGCCAAAGUGUUGAUGCAAAUAUAAGUAAACGUGCACAAAUUUGUUAUUAGGCCGACAUAACAGACUAAAAGUCUUGAGAAGUUUAUGAACGCAGAACUUGAUAAAACUUAACAAGUUUGCAUCGCACAACUAUAUGAAACUGUUCACUGAAGAACAACUAAUCUUUCUCCACACAGGAUAAUGUGCAUUAAAUAUAUACUUAUUCAUUUAUGGAAUAGUAAAAGAGACCACAAUAAUGAAAAGAACAUGUAGUUCAGGCCAGGUUUUCAAUGCAAAAUUGGGACGAGACCUUCUGUUUCUUUUGAAUAACUGCAUUUCCGCCAUACUAUUUGUUUGCCAUCUAAAUGGAGCAUGUUUGCUGGGCAUCUCUCCAUGUUAAUUCACAUAGGCAUAGUUUAUUAGAUUAAAUUUGCAGAUGUAGCAAUUUUUUAGCAUAAACGGAUUCAUGAGCCCUUCAAUAGUCAUUCUUUACGCUUGUUAAUGAAAUGAUCUUGUAGAUAUCGAUGGCAAUGAAUUAAGGGCAAUCAGUUUUUCUGCUUUGCUAAGCCGAAAUUGCAGUCAGUAUCUUGAUAAUGAAAUCUCAAUUCCUAAAUCCUUGUUAUUCAUUUUCUAGGAAUUUGAAAAUAUUGCUGCAGAUGGAUAGGUAAAUUUCAUGUUCCAGCUAGAAUGCCCGUCGCUGCUGACACCAGGUAUCUCGUGGCACACGUCGACAUACUCCCUUCAGAGCAGCAUCUAUCCAUAGUCCAUAAUCCUUCUGGGAAACUAUUUUGAUUUCUUCAGAAUAUCGGUUGUGUUUUAAAUUCUCUUCUUUCCUGAAUGAACAUACUAAAGCUCAAAAUUCCGAACUUUGUGCUCUGGGACUGACAUCCUUUUAUGUUUUAGAUGAGCAAUAGCAUUAUAUAUUUUAUCUUCCGUGAAAUAGAGCAAGUUCUUAGGCGAUGAUCAACGGAAAUCAUAAGUAAAAUUUGAAGUACUAAAGUGUUUGUUUCUACCUCCUUCUGAUCCUUGUGUUGUGCCGUUGUGUUCCUAUUAGAUAAAUAAGCCAAUAUCCAGAUCUAUCAAAAGUUUUAAUCCAUCCCAUAUAGGUUGUCUUAGAUUUACAAAAAAGUUGGAUGUAUCUGCAUACUGUUUAGUGUUUUUACACACCCAAACUUUAACAAAUCUAAGACAAGUUUUGUAGGACGGAGGGAGUACUACCAUUUGAGCUUUUAUUUUUUAAAUAUUUAGUGGAAUGUACUUGUAGUUUUUUCUUGGUCAGAUGACCCCUUGCUUUCUAAGUACAUGAAGUUCAUAAAGCUAUACUGACUUGUGCAAAUAUCUUAUACUGUACUUGUUUCUUCUCGAUUUCCUUCUUGCACUUGAUAUCUGCGGUCACACACCAACUCUUUCAUCUGGUUAAAGACAAAUUUCAGAAUGCCAAUUCUAUGGAGAAACAACAGAUGAUUGCUAGAUGACAAGAACCCUUCCCUGCUGAUGCACUACAUCACCCCUGCCCUGAUGUUCCAGCUCUACAAGCUUUGCUGCUGAACUCUGUUUGCUCUGUGUGUGCUCAUUUUAUCAGUGUACACCAUCAGUUUGAUGUGUGCUAAUUAGUUCAGGCAUCAUUUCAACCUUGUAUGUAAAGUAAACUCGUGUAACCAUCUACCUGUAUCAGCCACUGUGUUGUGUUUCCAUCAAGCAAAAUCAAAUGUAUAAUUUGUUUUCUGGUAA